rnacentral:rRNA from 1 species
AAGCUAAUACCGCAUACGACCUACGGGUGAAAGGGGGCUUUUAGCUCUCGCUAUUAGAUGAGCCUAAGUCGGAUUAGCUGGUUGGUGGGGUAAAGGCCUACCAAGGCGACGAUCUGUAGCUGGUCUGAGAGGAUGAUCAGCCACACUGGGACUGAGACACGGCCCAGACUCCUACGGGAGGCAGCAGUGGGGAAUAUUGGACAAUGGGCGAAAGCCUGAUCCAGCCAUGCCGCGUGUGUGAAGAAGGCCUUUUGGUUGUAAAGCACUUUAAGUGGGGAGGAAAAGCUUAUGGUUAAUACCCAUAAGCCCUGACGUUACCCACAGAAUAAGCACCGGCUAACUCUGUGCCAGCAGCCGCGGUAAUACAGAGGGUGCAAGCGUUAAUCGGAAUUACUGGGCGUAAAGCGCGCGUAGGUGGUUAUUUAAGUCAGAUGUGAAAGCCCCGGGCUUAACCUGGGAACUGCAUCUGAUACUGGAUAACUAGAGUAGGUGAGAGGGGAGUAGAAUUCCAGGUGUAGCGGUGAAAUGCGUAGAGAUCUGGAGGAAUACCGAUGGCGAAGGCAGCUCCCUGGCAUCAUACUGACACUGAGGUGCGAAAGCGUG